ensembl:lncRNA
GAACCUGAGGAGUCUGAAAAUCUUACUUCUGAUGACAGCAGAUUCAAGAGUCCUGCUAUUAAACCGGCUCAGCUCAAAGGUCGACCCCAGAGGGCGAUCCCGAAUCUCAGCCACAGAUGGGGGAGCAGGCACCCUGUGCCCAGAGGCAAUGUCCAAGAGGACAGGACCUCAGCCAGGGAGGGGUGUAAAGUGGACAAGUCCCCCAAGGCUAUAAAAGAGAAGAAGCAUUGUGCAGUUCUCCUUGAAUUGGAAGAUUUAGAGGAAGAACCUGACCUGAGUGCUGUACAAGAACAGAUAUUCAAUAAACCAACCAGGUCAGGAAGGAUCCCUAAGCUCUCUCAGCAUGUAAUUCAAGCAGCGGAAGAGGAAGAUGAGGAAGAGCUCUCUGAUCUUCCUGUAUCUUCCAAAUUUCAUGGUCAGGACAUCAAGGCACCUGGCCGGAGAGCUAAAUUAAAACCAGGUCCCAGAUUGAAACAGGGCAUGCCUAGGAGGGGGAAAUCUAGGCUGGUGACCUUACUGGCCUCUGGAACUGAAGAUGAUGAUGAGGAGGAGGGAGAAGUAUCUGUCCUGAGCCAGGAAGACUUUCCUUCAAAUCCUGAAGAGGAAAACCAGGCGUUUGUGCCAAUGAGUCUACGCCCUCUACCACCUGUUAAUUCAGAGGUGGUAGAAACCAUGGAAGAGCUGGACAUUUCUGUGAAUGUGUCUGAUAUCCUGGGCACAUACCAGAAUGCUUUGUGCCCUGAGUUGUCAUGUGAGCAGGCCACGGUGCCUGCCAGUCCUGUCCCUUGUGAACACCAGUUGGACCUGCUUGUUGUAAGUCUCUGUCACAUCUGACACGUCCUCUGUUUCCUCAUUGGUCAAUUGGUACAUGCUGCGGUGUCCAUCAU